rnacentral:rRNA from 1 species
AUUGAACGCUGGCGGCAGGCCUAACACAUGCAAGUCGAACGAGUGGCGGACGGGUGAGUAAUGUCUGGGAAACUGCCCGAUGGAGGGGGAUAACUACUGGAAACGGUAGCUAAUACCGCAUACCAUCGGAUGUGCCCAGAUGGGAUUGGCUAGUAGGUGGGGUAAUGGCUCACCUAGGCGACGAUCCCUAGCUGGUCUGAGAGGAUGACUCGCCAAAACGGAACUGAGACAAGGGCCAGAACUCUACGGGAGGCAGCAGUUGGGAAUAUUGCAAAAUGGGCGGAAGCCUGAUGAAGCCAUGCCGCGGGGAUGAAGAAGGCCUUCGGGUUGUAAAGUACUUUCAGCGGGGAGGCGUUUCCCGCAGAAGAAGCACCGGCUAAAUCCGUGCCAGCAGCCGCGGUAAUUUC